CCAAAAGCUGGCGACCGGCGCACGGGUGAGUAACACGUAUCCAACCUGCCUCAUACUCGGGGAUAGCCUUUCGAGAGAAAGAUUAAUAUCCGAUAGCAUAUAUUUCCCGCAUGGGUUUUAUAUUAAAGAAAUUCGGUAUGAGAUGGGGAUGCGUUCCAUUAGUUUGUUGGGGGGGUAACGGCCCACCAAGACUACGAUGGAUAGGGGUUCUGAGAGGAAGGUCCCCCACAUUGGAACUGAGACACGGUCCAA
rnacentral:rRNA from 1 species